UACGGGGGGAGCAAGCGUUGUUCGGAUUUACUGGGCGUAAAGGGCGCGUAGGCGGUCACGACAAGUCAGUUGUGAAAUCUCCGGGCUUAACUCAGAACGGUCAACUGAUACUGCGCGGCUAGAGUGCAGAAGGGGCAACUGGAAUUCUCGGUGUAGCGGUGAAAUGCGUAGAUAUCGAGAGGAACACCUGCGGCGAAGGCGGGUUGCUGGGCUGACACUGACGCUGAUGCGCGAAAGCCAGGGGAGCGAACGGG
rnacentral:rRNA from 1 species